rnacentral:rRNA from 1 species
GAUGAACGCUGGCGGCGUGCCUAAUACAUGCAAGUCGAGCGAAUGGAUUAAGAGCUUGCUCUUAUGAAGUUAGCGGCGGACGGGUGAGUAACACGUGGGUAACCUGCCCAUAAGACUGGGAUAACUCCGGGAAACCGGGGCUAAUACCGGAUAACAUUUUGAACCGCAUGGUUCGAAAUUGAAAGGCGGCUUCGGCUGGCACUUAUGGAUGGACCCGCGUCGCAUUAGCUAGUUGGUGAGGUAACGGCUCACCAAGGCAACGAUGCGAAGCCGACCUGAGAGGGUGAUCGGCCACACUGGGACUGAGACACGGCCCAGACUCCUAUGGGAGGCAGCAGUAGGGAAUCUUCCGCAAUGGACGAAAGUCUGACGGAGCAACGCCGCGUGAGUGAUGAAGGCUUUCGGGUCGUAAAACUCUGUUGUUAGGGAAGAACAAGUGCUAGUUGAAUAAGCUGGCACCUUGACGGUACCUAACCAGAAAGCCACGGCUAACUACGUGCCAGCCGCCGCGGUAA